UUGGCUUUCUGUUUCUCUGUUUGAAUUCAUCUCUUCUUUUUUUUUCCACCAACUCGAAAUGGACUCACCAUCAAAGCCUCAACAGUAGCUUCCACACCGCCCCUCUCAACCUCAAUCUCCGAUCACUCGCCAAACAAUCAUCGCCGUUAAACCUCCAUAACCGCCACAGAUCCACCGCCGUACACCGCUCUUUCUAUCUCCAAAACCCCAUAUUCUCCACCAAUUUCUCUCCACUCAAACUCAGCAGCAAUCGCCCUGUUAAUGGCCUCGAUCAGUCCCUGCAAAAUUCGACCCACCAAAAACCCCAACCUCCGGCGUCGCAAUAUCCCCGUUAAUAGCCUCGAUCCAAGAUUUGGGGCGGCGUGGGUAAGAGUCGUAAGGGAGUGUAGCUGGUGGUGGGUAGGAGUCGUAAG
rnacentral:lncRNA from 1 species